GUUUAGUUCUCAUUCAGCAAUCAUAAUGAUUAUAUGGUUAAGCAAUGCAUCGCCAAAACACCACACACAAGCAAAAAUAAAUCAGCCGACUCAUCGCAAACGGCAAAAUCAAUUUACACGGCCGUGAAGCGAUCCGAUACAAACCGUCAUUUCAAAAGCAACACAAUUGAGUUCACCCCUACCGGAGUGCAAUAGGCCUUUGCGGCGAAACCCGGCUGUCAUCGACUUUAUUUGACAAGCACACGCACACUGAAGCUCAGCCCGAAACCAACCGCCAAACGUUCAACAGCCGCGCAAUUUGCCUGCCAGGCAGGUGAAAGUCUCCCAUUUUGAGAUUUUGGUCGACUCUUGCUGCUAGAAACACGUGUAUUCGGUGUGGCUGGAGUACAGGGCCACGAUAAUUGGAAUCAGAACAGGCCGGAGUUCGUUUUUUUGAGGCCCACUUUGCCGAAAAGCUGACCACGUAACACGAGCACGAGCAAGAAGAACCGAAUCUACGAAUUACCGGCGGCAUAAGCGGUCCUGAGCAGCAUCCGGCCAUCCAGACAAGAUCCUCGUUAAUCGCAGAUUGAAAACACGAUCGACCCGGAUAGAAUCGUCCGGACAGGAAAAUUGUGCCGAAAGAAGCCCCUGAACAGGGGCUUUUCUUUUUCCUUGUUUCGGUCUCGAUUGGCAGAUCAGCGAGCUGCGGUAAAUCCGGCAGGGAAUCGAAUCUCAAGGAGGUGAAAUUUGUGUGCGCUGCCAGAGCACAACGCGGACAAGGCAGGCUACGGUUGCUUCGAGACGGGAGCCCCGGAGUGCAAGUAGCUGGAGACUGGGAGAAACUCGGAGACGUCGGCAACGGAAACGGCAGGACCAAGUCCCUCGGAGGGAUCCCAUCCAGCAUCCCGGUCGCGCUGGACGGCCAGAGGGGUCCCCAGCGGAGGGACUGGUGUUUGUGUGCAAAGUUGGUGAGCGGCUUGCGAGGAUUGAGACGGCAUGAAUAUCGCUGUGCAGAAAACCUUAGGGGGACGCCCCGUAGAGUCGAACCGUGAGUAGAAAUUACGAGAAAAUUAUGUUAGCCUGUAAGAAGAAAGAAGUAGAGAAGUAGAAGUAGGAUGGAGAGAGUAUAGAUGAAGAGAUAAGAAGGCGGUAGGAGGAAGAUUAGGGCAAAUGCCCCAAAUAUAUGUAUUGAUUUGAGAUUUGUGGCUUUAUUUGUCUUGUUGGUGCUUUAGCCCUCCAGUUUUGUUUGCUUUGUGUCCACUUUGGUAGUUCUGCUCUACCCGCUACCGGAAACUCGCAAUACUGGCGCCCAACUGAAAAUCCACAAUUAAAACUACCGUUUAGCGAAAAUUUUUGGUUUGUUCAGUUAUAUUUUGGUUUUGUGUUUUGAUUAUCCGGCCUAUGAUAGUCAAAUUUUACUUUAACUCUUACGCAUUAUUAUCGAUAUGGAUUAUACGCAUUUGACCGACGAAGAGGUGACCUACGAGUUAGCUUUACGCCACGUAGUCAACCUAGGUCCAACCACCCAUCGAGGUAAAAUCCUCCGUCUCAAGGCUCUCGUUCAAGAGGAGACCUUGAGAGAUAGUAAGCCCACUAGCUCAGACCACAUAA